UGGGGAAUUUUGGACAAUGGGCGCAAGCCUGAUCCAGCAAUGCCGCGUGCAGUAUGAAGGCCUUCGGGUUGUAAACUUCUUUUGUACGGAGCGAAAAGGUCUGCCCUAAUACGGUGGGCUCAUGACGGUACCGUAAGAAUAAGCACCGGCUAACUACGUGCCAGCAGCCGCGGUAAUACGUAGGGUGCGAGCGUUAAUCGGAAUUACUGGGCGUAAAGCGUGCGCAGGCGGUUAUAUAAGACAGAUGUGAAAUCCCCGGGCUCAACCUGGGACCUGCAUUUGUGACUGAAUAGCUAGAGUACGGUAGAGGGGGAUGGAAUUCAGCGUGUAGCAGUGAAAUGCGUAGAUAAGCGGAGGAACAACGAUGGCGAAGGCAAUCCCCUGGACCUGUACUGACGCUCAUGAACGAAAGCGUGGGGAGCAAACA
rnacentral:rRNA from 1 species